UACGUAGGGUGCGAGCGUUGUCCGGAAUUAUUGGGCGUAAAGGGCGUGUAGGCGGCUUCGCAGGUCGGUGGUGAAAGCAUACAGCUCAACUGUAUUGAGCCACGGAAACGGCGGAGCUUGAGGCUGGGAGGGGCUGGUGGAAUUCCCUGUGUAGCGGUGAAAUGCGUAGAGAUGGGGGAGAACACUCGUGGCGAAGGCGGCCAGCUGGACCAGUUCUGACGCUGAGACGCGAAAGCGUGGGGAGCAAACAGG
rnacentral:rRNA from 1 species